rnacentral:rRNA from 1 species
UACGAAGGGUGCAAGCGUUACUCGGAAUUAUUGGGCGUAAAGCGUCCGUAGGUGGCUCUUCAAGUCUGCUGUCAAAGCGUGGGGCUUAACCCUGCAAAGGCAGUGGAAACUGAAAGGCUAGAGAGCCGUAGGGGUAGAGGGAAUUCCCGGUGUAGCGGUGAAAUGCGUAGAGAUCGGGAAGAACAUCGGUGGCGAAAGCGCUCUACUGGACGGUAACUGACGCUGAGGGACGAAAGCGAGGGGAGCGAAUGGG